GACGAACGCUGGCGGCGUGCUUAACACAUGCAAGUCGAACGGAAAGGCCCUGCUUUUGUGUGGUGCUCGAGUGGCGAACGGGUGAGUAACACGGGAGUAACCUGCCCUUGACUUUGGGAUAACUUCAGGAAACUGGGGCUAAUACCGGAUAGGAGCUCCUGCUGGAUGGUGGGGGUUGGAAAGUUUCGGCGGAUGGGGAUGGACUCGCGGCUUAUCAGCUUGUUGGGGGGGUAGUGGCUUACCAAGGCUUUGACGGGUAGCCGGCCUGGGAGGGUGAUCGGCCACAUUGGGCCUGAGAUACGGCCCAGACUCCUACGGGAGGCAGAAGUGGGGAAUAUUGCACAAUGGGCGGAAGUCUGAUGCAGCAACGCCGCGUGCGGGAUGACGGCCUUCGGGUUGUAAACCGCUUUCGCCUGUGACGAAGCGUGAGUGACGGUAAUGGGUAAAGAAGCACCGGCUAACUACGUG
rnacentral:rRNA from 1 species